ACAGUACAAACUGAGCAGACCGUGAUAUCUUAUCAUGGAGUCGGGUCACUGAUGUGACAGUGGAAUCUUCAUCCACGGGACAGU
rnacentral:ncRNA from 1 species